UGAAGUAAACGGACUAUAAUAUUUUUAUGAUAAAGUUAAAGUGUUUGUUUGUGCUGUUAUCCAUGAUGGUGUUAAUAUCAAGCGACAUCGUACAUAGUAUGCCUGCACAUUACAUCCAACAAAACGUGUUGGCGGCUAACGACAAACUGGGUGGAAAUUUAAAACGAGUCCGGCGGGCAGAUCAAGGAUCACAGGGAUUUGGUAAUGGUUCAAUAAAUCCACCAACCGGACGAUAAGUCACAACUUUAUAAUAGACAAAAACACAUUGUUAUCACAAAUGUUAAUAA